GACGGAGGGGGCAAGCGUUGUUCGGAUUUAUUGGGCGUAAAGGGCUCGUAGGCGGACUGGUAAGUCUGGCGUGAAAUCUCCACCACUCAACGGGGAGGGGCCGUCGGAAACUGCCAGUCUGGAGUACGGUAGAGGACCAUGGAAUUCCAGGUGUAGCGGUGGAAUGCGUAGAGAUCUGGAGGAAUACCGGUGGCGAAGGCGGCAUCCUGGACCGGCAUUGACGCUGAUGCGCGAAAGCCAGGGGAGACAAAGCGG
rnacentral:rRNA from 1 species